CGGUAGGAAAAGGAGAAGUUGGGAUGUGCUGAGCUACAGAUAAAAUGGCUUCAGGGAAUGGCAUAACCACGUCCAAGUUGCUGCACCCUGCCCACCUUCCCAAAAGAAGCCCACAGGACAGAUCCGUUACUAUAGAAUCAGGAGCCAAGUCCUGGGAAGAGAAAGCACCUGAUUCCAGUGCCGCUGGUGCCGGGAAUCCCUUCCUAUCUUGCAAACACCAAUCGACUGCUUCCACUUCUCCCCCCAACGAUCCAACUUUCAGACUCACGGUGCAGUAGCUCGCAGCCCCAGAGGCACAGGCAGGUGUGAGAGAAGGGCUGUCACUCGCAGACCAGCAUCGGGGCUGGGAGGCAGCAUCCCAACUCGCCGCAGGAACAAACUCCGCGUGCGCGGCAUGCAAAUCUCAAGCCUAUCAGGAGCCGGAAGUGGUCUGGGCAGGAAGGUGGGCUUUUAGCGGGGAAUUCUGGGGUAGCGAUACCUAGUCGGCGGAGGUCCAAGGCUGCAGCAACUCCGAGAGGCUCUAUUGCAUGUCCUCAGGGCCAGUUAUUUAUAUCCUGUUAGCAGCUGAAAGCAUACUCUUUGUUUCUCGCUUUGAUGAAAGAAUCAGCCAUGUUGAAAAAACCAUGUGGCAAGGAACUGAGAGUGAGCACUAAUGAAUGAGAAACUAAGCUUCUCAGUCUGACAACCCUCAAGUAACUGAACCAACCAACAACCGUACAUCAUAUGGAGUUCCUGGGCCAGGGAUCAGACCCCAGCUGGAGUUGCAAUCACGUCAGACCCCGCUGAAGCAUUACC